rnacentral:rRNA from 1 species
UACGAAGGGGGCUAGCGUUGCUCGGAAUCACUGGGCGUAAAGGGCGCGUAGGCGGAUCUUUAAGUCGGGGGUGAAAUCCUGGAGCUCAACUCCAGAACUGCCUUUGAUACUGGUGAUCUUGAGUCCGGGAGAGGUGAGUGGAACUGCGAGUGUAGAGGUGAAAUUCGUAGAUAUUCGCAAGAACACCAGUGGCGAAGGCGGCUCACUGGCCCGGUACUGACGCUGAGGUGCGAAAGCGUGGGGAGCAAACAGG